rnacentral:tRNA from 1 species
GCUCAUGUGGCGGAAUUGGUAGACGCGCCAGACUUAAAAUCUGUUGUCCUUCGGGACGUACCGGUUCGAUUCCGGUCAUGAGUA